rnacentral:rRNA from 1 species
AAUAGAUGAGAAGAUUGAACGAUUCUUAAUAAACUAAAUAGAUGAGAGGAUUGUAAGUAGAGCAGAUAGAUACCGUACCUGGAGACUACCACACAAGGAAGCUAGUAGAGAAUACGAAGGCGUAAGAGAUAACAAUCAUAAAGUUGGGGGGUUUGGCUCCUCCCGCAUUGUGAUAAAGAGCCAAACUCCGGGGAAAUGCUAAAGUUCUAAUAACCAAGGUAAUAAAGGAAACUUUACUACUGGCCUGAUUAAUACUUCAGGGUAUGGUAAAAUCAUUAGAGAUUCUAGUAAUAGAAAUGGAUUAUCGCGGAUCUAAAUCAGUAGUAGAUAAAGUAUUGCUGUAAAAGAGCAACGAGUAGACGGUUCUUCAAUACUUGAAGUAUUGUAAGGUGUACUCUAGUCAUCAAGGAAACUUGGUUUUUAACAUUUAUAUAAGUUCCAGCUAUUUUUUCUGUUAUAUUGGUUUUUCUAUUUGCAAUCAAACACUACCGCCUUAGGUGUUUCUAAUUUUUGUUCAGACGUCGGGUUGUCGCGCAACCAAGUAGUGCAAGUUGGGCUAGCACCCCUUUGUUACUGCUCCGGAGGGCUAAUUAGUAAAACCUAUAGGUCUGGGAGUCUUUAAAGUUAAACCUUAGAUAAUAAAUAUGAAAUAAAAAAAAAAUUAUACUUAUCGAUUGUCCGCUCCUAAACAUGAAAGAUUCACAAGAUUUUCUCCCAUUUAUACUCCGUAUUUUACUUAUCAAGUUAACAGUAAGAAUGAAGGAGGUAAGUGAGGGAUACAGUGAGAGAUAAAAGGCCUUUCGUUGUAUCUGUGCUUAAUUGAACUUAAACAAGGUUCAAAGGAUAAUGUAAUAAAAAACACGGUCACUUGAAAGAGUAAUUUUAUUUUUAUGGAGUUACCUAUUGUCUUGGCUCCCACUUAGUGACUCAAUAAAUAUAUAAAAAGCUACAAAAAUAUUCAAUUCAAAUUUAAUUAAUCCCAGUUUUAUUUCUGGAUUUAUAGACGCAGAGGGCUGUUUUCAUGUUUCUGUUGUUGAGGAUAAAAAUCUAAAAGUUGGUCAUAGUGUGAGAGUAAUUUUCCAAAUUUCUUUACACGAAAAGGAUAAAGCUCUUUUAGAUUUAAUCCUAAAUUUUUUUGGUGUAGGUAAGGUUAUCGCACGUAAAGAUGGUGUAUAUUAUUAUCAAGUUACCCAGAUAAAAGAUCCACCCCCUCUGGGGGGUUGAUCUCCCCUUGUGGGUCGAUCUGUUGUUAAUAUUAGAUCAUUUAUCAAAGUAUCCUUUAAUUACGCAAAAACGUACAGAUUGUGUAUUAUUCAAACAAGUUGUUGAUUUAAUGAUAGAACAAAAGCAUCGGACUAUAGAAGGAUUAGCUAAAAUAGUCAAUAUAAAAGCAGCAAUGAAUUUUGGUGUACUAUCUGAAAAUUUAUUAUCUAAAUUUAUUAAUGUAGGCUACGCCCCCGUUGAAAGACCUUUAGUAAGAAAUGUAGAAAUUUACGACUCAAAUUGAGUAAGCGGGUUUGUAGAAGGAGAAGGUUGUUUCUUCGUUAAUAUAUAUAAGAGAAAAGAUAGUGUGUUAGGUGAAGGAGUUAAGUUAGUAUUUAAAAUAACUCAAGAUAAAAGAAACAAUGAAAUACUUGCAUUAUUUUCAAACAUUUUUGGUUGUGGUAAAGUUUAUAAUCAAUCCUCUAAAGGAGGAGUACAGGAUUUUAUGAUAACAGGUCUUGGAGAUAUUACGGAAAAAGUAAUACCAUUUUUUUUGGCUCAUCCCUUAAAAGGAGCAAAGUUAAAAGAAUACCAAGAUUGAUGUAAAGUAGCAAAAUUAAUGCAAAAUAAGGAGCAUCUUACUAAAGAUGGACUCGAAAAAAUCAGAUCCCGCGCGCCCUGCGCGCGGAUCCCCCCUUGCGGGUGGAUCUAUUAAGUUAGGUAUGAAUUUUAAGCGUAUGACGGCUCUGUCCACUCUAAUAGAAGGUUAAUCUUAAAGUAAGAUAAGCUAUUAAGAUAAGCUAUUAAGAUAACCGUGAUGGUUGGUUUAUAGGCAGUUUAAAUUAUAUAAAUGUUAAAAUUAAAGGUACCACAUUAGCCUUGUCCUGUUGGCGAAUAUUAAAUAAGUACACAGGAUUAAAUUUGUGGACGAAAGGAACUCGGCAAAUUGAUACCAAAACUUCGGGAAAAGGUAGGCUCAUUAGUCUUGAUUAAUACAAGUAAAAAGGAAGAAGCAUAAAAGGAUGUUGUACGACUGUUUAAUUAAAACACAGCACUCUGCAAAAAGAUGAUAAAUCUAAGUACUGAGUGUGAUACCUGCCCGGUGCCGGCUGGUUAACGGAAAUAACUAGACUGUCGUAGGUUUGGUGUAGAAGGAAACCCCGGCUAAUGGCGGCCUUAUAACUGAGGGUCAGGCUUUCUUAGGGCCCUCAUUAAAUUUAGCUAUAUGCUGGAACAAAUUUUAAUUUGCAGUAUUAUUUGUGCUUAAAGGAGUUAGUUUUAGUGUCAUACCUUUGUUUAUUGCAAAUUAUUUCCUUAUUUUUUUUUUUUUCAGUAACAUUUGCUAGCACAAUGGUUUAACGUUUUAACGGACUAAAUAUGAAAAUUUUAAGGUGUGAAUAUACACAAUAGAGUUAUAUUGUAGAAGUCCAUUGCCGUACCAAAAUUUUUCUACGCUAGUAUACUGGUUUAACGAUCUCUAGCUUUAAUAAUAUAUAAAAUUAGAAUAGAAUAAAAAAUGAAAAUAUUAAAUAUAAGAAUACUAAAAAUACAACCUUUAUUAAAUUUAGUCCGGGGUUGUAUUAGGGCGCAAGCUCUUAAUGGAAUAGUUAGCAGUAAAUUUGGCGGUACCUUAGCUAGCUUACACGGUAAAAGUUUACAUACCUGUUCACCGAAAGGGUCAGUCGACCUAACCGUGUCGGCCAAUAAUUCAAGUAGUCUAGAUUUCAAUCAGCAGGAAAAAUUAGAAAAGUUAGUUCAGGAUGAGAACUACAAAUAUUGAUUAGGAGGUUUUGUGGAGGGAGAAGGAGCUUUAGUAAUAUCUAUAGUGAAGAAUACUAAGUUGACACAUAAAGUUGCCUUACAGCCUGAGUUUAAUGUUGUACAACAUACAAAUGGUAUGGAAAUACUUCAUUCGUUCAAGAUCCUUUUUGGGAAUAAAGGAACAGUAACCAAAAAAUCCGGAUCCGAUAAUGUUUUAGUCUAUUCUUUGAAAGGUACUAAAAAUUUAAAAAAUUAUGUGUUACCUUUCUUUGCUAAAUACGUUGCAGUAUAUUCAAGUAAAUAUAAAUCUGAGAUUUUUGAUACUUUCAACUAUGUUAUUAAUAAACUAGAUGAGAAUCAUCGUAAAGCAACUAGCAAAGAAGACCUUAUAGAAUUAAUUAAAUUGGUUUAUACUUAUAAUCCUGAAGGUAAGGGAAAACAAAGAAAAAGAACAUUGGAGGAAAUCUUGGAUUAUAUAAAUGAUCCAAACCAAUAAGUAAGGAACCAAACUUUUCUAAAAUCCUCAGAGACCAUACGCUAAACAAUCUAUUUAGAUUGAUGAUUUGGUCCGGCGGGCACUUGUUACUUUUUAAGAUGGUAACAAGGGAUAGUGAUAUCUUGCUCGUUGCCUAAGGUAGCGGAAUACCUUGGCCGUUAAAUGCGGUCUUUGCAUGACUACAAAUUCACCAAAUUUAUUAUUAUUUUAAGUUAAUUCAAUGGUUUGUAGCCAAAUUAUUAAAAAGAAUCAUGAAAAUAAAAAACAACAAAAAACAUAUAAUAUCGAAUGCCGUCAGUUUAAGACGAGAAUGUGGGAUUUACCCUUCUCACAUAUACCCAAGUAUAUGAAAAAACAAUUUUCUUACUUCGGUAAAUUUAAAGGUUAAUACUAAAAAUUGACCUUUAAUUUAUAACAAAAAAAGUGAAAGAUUAGGGGAUUCACUUAGUCCAUAUCAAUUAGCUAUGAAAUAUUUAAAAAGUGUUAAUACUAUUACUGCUUUGGAAGUAAAUGAUGUUUUAGCUUUUUCGGGUAUUAGUAUAACACAAAAUCUUUUAGAUAAUAUUUUAAAUAGACCUAGACUAGUUUUUACAAAUUUGAGCUUAUGCACUUUAAAUUCACCUGAAUUUUUAGAACAGGUAGGUACUAUAAGAAAGGAGAAAUGUCCUGCAGGGGUUUACAUAUGAACUCACCUAUCUACUGGAGAUAAAUAUGUAGGAUCUAGUUCUUCUUUAGCUCGUAGAUUAAUAGGAUAUUUCAAAAAUAGUCACGCUGAUGUAGGAAAAUUAAUACCUUUAAUUAAAAGUGAAGGUGUGGGUGCUUUUAAUUUAGAAGUUAUACCAUUAAUAACGGAUUAUAAGGCUAAGCAAGAAUUAAGUAUUGAACAAUAUUUCCUGCUACACUCUGAAUAUAAUUUAAAUAGAUUAAGAGUUGUAAAUAAUAUUUCUGGAUCCAGAUCUAAAUCUUUAUAUAUGUAUACUAAAGAUUUUACUAAAUUAAUGUUUUCUUCAAGUACUCAAGAAGAUUUUAUAUUUAAGUUUAGAAUUCAUCACACUAUAUUUACCCAAAGUAUAAUGACUGGUUCAAUAUAUUUAGGAAAGUAUAUAUUCACCGAUCAACCGGUUGAAGGUGCUGAAUUAAGUAAUCUGUCCGAAUCGGAAUUAUUAGCUAUUUUAGAAGAAGAUAGGUUAAUUGUUAAACAAGACGAAGAAAAUAGAGUGGGUAGAAAAGUUACUAUAAGAUCCAUAAAUGAUGGAAAUUUCGUUCAAAUUUUUGAUAGUAUUAGCGAUUGUAUUGUAUAUUUAAAUUCUACUACUCCUUUAUUAGAUUCAGAGAAAGGAAAUACAGCUGGUAAGUUUUCUAAAACAACUUUAUACCGUUAUAUAAAAUCAGGAAAACCUUAUAAUGGUUUUAUCUGUCAAUGGACUGACGACCAGACAUCUCAUAUUAAAGAUAAAAGUAUAGGUGUAAAGGUAUUACAUAUUCCUACAGGAACUGUAAAUGAAUAUCUUACUAUUCGUAAAGCUGCUUUAGCGUUUGAUCCUGUAACUACCGGUCAAACAAUAAAAGCUUACAUAGAAAAUUCAAAAUUAUUCAGAGGAGAAUAUAGAAUAAGCUAUUUAAGUAAGUAACUAAUUCUAAUUAGGUGUAUAGAUGAAGAUGUGUCACCAUUAUAGCCAUCGUUUCAAUGUUCGCUAUUUUAUUAGUUGUAGGACCUGAAAAGGUCCUUUCUUUUCUUAUUCAUUUCAGUAGCUAGUGUUUCGCUAUAAUAAACUUAAAAUAAAUAAUAAAAUAAUAGAUUGACAUUAAGGUCGUUGAUCUAAAUUGUGCAAAUAAAAAAGAAGCAAACUCCGGGAAUAUCCCUAAAGCUCUUUUUACCAAGUUUAAGUUUAAAACAUCUUAAAUGGCUUAAGUAAUUAUUAAGGUAUGGUAAUAAUAAAGGAGAUGAUACGAAAGAAAAUGGGUUAUCGCGGAUCUAAAACACCUCUGGUAUUUGAUUAUGUGUAAAAGAGCAACGAGCAGAUGCUUCUUCAAUAUUAUUAUUAAUAUUGUAAGGUGUGCUCUAGUCACCGGUAAAUUGGCGCUUAACCGAAUUUAGUAAGUUAAGCUUAAAGUAUAAACACAAUAGCCUAACCUAAUGUUUUAUUUAGAGCACGUGUUUUAAUAAAACUAUGGUUAAAUUUGUGUAACGGAAUGGUGUAACGAUACAACAGCUGUCUCUAUGAUUGACUCUGUGAAAUUGGAAUAACUGUGCAGAUACAGUUUACCUCUAGUUAGACGAGAGUGCGACUAGCUAAGUGCUUGAUAGCAAUGUGGUGAAAGCCCACCAAAUAACCCAUUAUUUGAACUCAUGUGGCAUGCAUUUGAAGUAAUUCUUUUGUGUGAAGCCCACUAAAUAACAAUCAUAAGAUUGUCCAACCUUUCUCUCUCUUAUGCUUAAUGAUUGAUAAGGGAGGUUGGUGAGUUAGAUUACUAAGGAUAGUAAAUACGAAUCCACGUUUGAAGCGUAAAACUAGAUAUUGAGAAAAAGAAAAUAUAUUAUUGAUUGUAGAAAAGAGUUCUCGUUCUUUUCUUUAUGGGUCUAAUAUCAAUAUACGUAUAGUGGGAUCCUAAGGUAAUCAUUAAGGUGUUAUCAAGUAAACUAGGUAAGCCCAAUGUUACCCAUCGUGAUUGGUCUUUAUUCUAAGUAAUGAUCUUGAUGGAAGUUUAGUCGUGAGGCUAAAUAUAUAGCAGUGGGUAAAGGAUGCUCUAAAAAGCGAAUGCUUUGUGGUAAUAGCAAAGAUAGGAUCGAUAAUAAAUGAUCUAAUUCGAAAGAAUGCUGACUUAGAGCAGGCGUUAAUAAUAAAUAUUCAUAAAUAUACAAAUGUUUCAGGUAAGCUUAGCAAGCUAGCUUUUGUCAAGUGGUUGUGUAAUAAGUGCAGGUAGCUUGAACUAAUUUCCUUUAUUGUGGGCAAGCGUUCCCUUUUUAAAAAUAAUAUAUUUAUUAAAGUAAUUUUUGAUGAAAGCGUAAGGUGUACCGCGUAUCCUUGCGAGGGGUACAGGCAUAAGGUGUAAUAAAUUAUUUGAGACGUAAUUUAAUUACUAUAAUAUCUGCUUCUAAUCAGCAUUAAAGUAUGAUAAGUUUAAAGACUGCCAAAAAAUUCGAUUAGUAAUCAACCUUUUAUUUGUUGUUAUGCUAUAAGCUAUCAGCGAAUGUAACUAUAACCACUGUAUGUUGAAAGGUGUAAACACUGGGGAUACGUAUAACUUAUAGGAAGGAAAUAAAGUAGUGCAAUGCGAUGAGUAGUUGAAGAUCGUAAUAAAUUAUUAGGUUUGCUAUAUAUUUUAAAACAAAAUCCAUGAAAAAUUUUAACAAAAAAUUAUUAUAUACUAAUCAACCCAAGGUUUAUAACCUUAAUGUCUCAACAAUAAGUAGAAUAUUACUUACUAAGCUUAAAGUACCACUUUUAGUAUUAGGGCUGUCCCGUAAUUAUUCUACAGCGGUACCUAAAGGAACGGUGUUACCUUCUGAGGGCGUAGCCGUAAAAAAUAGCACCGAAACUGAAUUCGAUUUUAAAUCAGAUAUAAAUAUUAACCUAACUCCUUGAUGAGUUACAGGUAUUAUAGAUUCAGAAGGAAAUUUUUCCAUUGUAACCCAAAAAACUUCGGCGAAGUCGGGAUAUAAAAUUUCUUUAACCCUUAAGGUAACUCAAAAAGAACAUUCUAAAGGUAUUCUUUUAGCUUUACAAAAAUACUUUGGUUGCGGAAAUAUUUAUAUAGAUAAUAAAAAAGAGAAUGCGUACAAAUUUAGUGUAAGUAAGAUAGAAGAUAUCUUAUACAAAAUUAUACCUCAUUUAGAUAAAUAUCCUUUAGUAACAUCUAAAAAUUUGGACUAUGCUGAUUUUAGAAGAAUAGCCUUACUUAUGAAAGAUAAGUUACAUUUAAACUCCGAAGUUAUAGAUGAAAUAUUAUUAAUUAAAAAUAAUAUGAAUAGUUUACGAACUUUUGAGGAAAGAUGGAACUAUUUCCAAAAUAUAGAGCCAAUUAAAUUAAUUAAUGAGUGAGUCCAAGCAUUUGUAGAUGGGGAAGGUUGCUUUCAGUUUGGUAUUAUAAAUACAGUUAAUAGAGGAAAACCUUAUUUAGCUUUGGUUCAUACAUUAGAAGUAGCACAAAGUAAUCAUGAUGUAUGAGUAUUAGCUGCUUUAAUAGAAUUUUUUGGUUGUGGUUAUAUUAAACCUAAAUACAAUCUUCAAAACUUAGAUGAGGCAAAAAAAUCACGAAUUGUAAAUAGAUUUAUCGUUAACCAGCAUGCAGUUGUUACGGAAUUUUUUGAUAAGUAUCCUUUAUUUACACGUAAACGCUUGGAUUAUUUAGAAGCCCUCCGGGCUCCAGGGUUGGUUAGUAAAUAUCUUUUUUCCUUUUUUUUUAAUAAGUACUAUCUAUUCUUCUUUACAUGAGUCCAGUGUAUAGUUAUUGAAAGAUUCAAACGAAGUAACUGGUAUUCGCCUUGUUUUGUAAGCUAGUUAGUAUAAAAAAAAAGAAUGUUAAUUAUUAAGACCCCUCACUACCGAAUAUAGUAGAGCGUUGGUAAUACAUAAAAUAUAAAAAUGCAAAAAACAAAUAUUAAAAUACUAUCUUCAGUUAAUACUGAAACUAAAUCUGUAAUUUACGCAGGUGCUAAACAAAGUAACAACUAUGUUACAAAUAACUCUUCAAAUAUAAAAUUAAAACCAGCGGUUGUCUACCACAACGCUGAUGAACAAAAGGAGUUAAUCUUAAGUGAUAACAAAGGAAAAUCUGGAGUUUAUCGUUGGAUUAAUUUAGAUAAUAAUAAAUGUUAUAUUGGAAGUGGAGUUAAUCUUUCUAAAAGGUUAGCUAGCUAUUUCUCAGAUAAGAACUUAAAGACUCAAUUAGAAAGAGGUGAAAGUGUUAUAUAUAAAGCUAUAUUACGUUAUUCUCGUUCUAAAUUUAAUUUAGAAAUUCUUGAGUAUUGUGAGCAUAAAGAUUUAUUAAUGAGAGAAACAUACUACAUUGUAUUGUUAAAUCCUGAAUAUAAUAUAUUAAAGGAAGCUGGGUCACGUUUAGGAUCUAAACAUUCCAAGGUUGCUAUAGAUAAAAUUCGAAAGGCAGCCUUGAAUAGAACAGAUGAGCAAUUGGCGCAACACAGAGAAUGACUAGCUAAGGCUUGAGCUUCUAAUAUUGGGCGUACAUUUGCUCAUUCGGAUGAAUCUAAAGAAAAAAUAAGAAUAGCUUCAUCAAAUAAAUCCGCUGAACAUAUACUAAAAUAUAGAGCUGCUCGCGGUACUGCUGUAGUCUUAACAAAAAUAGAAACAAAUGAAACUACAGAAUACCUGUCUAUCAAUGAAGCAGCCAAAUUCGUAGGAGUAAGUCCUGUUACUUUAGGUAGGUAUAUAAAAAAAGCUGAAAUAUUAAAUGGUUAUAUUGUAAACUACAAGGUUAAUCCUAAGAAAUUAAUCAACCUAAAGGCUGAAAGAGCUCAAGAUACUCCAGAAGGUUUACAAAGAAUGAAGGAUAUAAAGGCAUAUAUGAAUAAGGGUAGAAAAGAAUAAGAAUUAUUCUUUAUACUCAGGAUAAUAUAAGUGGUUGUUUAUUUGUAGCUCUCAAAUAUGCCUAGGCAUAAACAUAUGUAUAAAAUAUGAAUAUUAAAAAGAAUUUAAUGCUCGAGCCGUAUGCGAUGAAAGUUGCACGUACGGUUCCACGAGGGGGAAGUUUUAGUAAUAAAAUGACCUAUCUCUACAGACCCUAUGCAGCUUUACUGUUACUAAUUAUUGAGUAUAAUAACAGCAAAUUUGAGAAGAUAAGGUAAUCGAUUGUAUAUAAGUGAAAUACCUUUAUUUGCUUAUUAUAUUAUUAUGGAAUAUUAUAUAUAUUGUCUAACCAUAUAAGUGAAAUAUCUUAUAUUGUCGUCAGUUAAAUGUAAAAGGAUCUUAAGUUAUCUCUUCAAGUUUUUUAGAUGGAAAAUUUAUGUGAAAUUACGUAUAUCUCGAGAAUAUAUAUAAUAUAAACAUCAGACUCUAUGAUUUAUGAGAAGGGAUAAAGAAUAGGGGGUCCGUUACUUAGAUGACUAAGAGAACGAAAGAGAUAAAUCUAACCCCCCUGGAAGGAUACUUAGAAUUGCUAAGAGAAGCUCUUAUAAAAAAGAGAGAACAUUUGCUAGGAGACAGUUUAUGCGGGGCACAGACCCCAUAAAGAGUAGAUGGGAGUGUCUAAGGAUUGUGAUGUUGGUUGCGAAAAAUCGUGUUUAUUUUUUUUUUUAUCACGUAUCCCUGCGUAGGAUUACUUCGUAGGAAUACGCAACUAUUAAUUUUGGAUAAUUUUUUUUAGACCUUGUUUUAUAAAGCUAAACUCUAGUUUUAAGGUCUAAAAAAAAUUAUUUGUUUGCAUGUAUUAUAUAACUAAGUUGUAUGUAAUCGUUUGCUAGUACGACACGGAAAGGCGUACAUAUUAUUGAAAGGGUAAGAUUUUAGCUAUAGUGAAAUUAGCUUUAGUAAAAAAAAAGUACUUUAAUAAUGAUAUUGCUGCUUGCCUGCUGCUUGGUCUAGGGCAAUGUCUUAGAUCAAGGGUAGGGCAAGGCUGGCACUUGAAGUAGCAUAGUACUUUUUCUAGUUAUUAAUUAAUACUUAGCAGUGUUUUUAAUAAUAAUGUCGACUAUUUACCAAGUUUAACGGCUUAAUCUUGCUUUACUGUUUGAUUCACAACAAAUCUUACAGUCGCGUAAGCGGGGCAUAGGAUCACAAGACACAUAAAGGAAAGGUCUUGGGUUAUUGGAAAAGCUACGCUAGGGAUGUUUGUCCUUUAAUUUAUUUUUCUUGCUUAAUUCCCUUUGGGGGCUUCAAGGGGGGGGGGGGGGGGGAGGGUCCCAGGGUCGCCCAGAAGGCGAAGAAUAAUAGUAAAUAUAUAUAAAGUUAUUUAUGUGAGCCUUCAUCCAAUUAUCUAAGUUAUUUUAUUACUAACUGUUCUUUCCGUAUCCGUCCGGCGAAGCACCGCCGGACGGAUACGAAGUAGCCUCAUCCCCCCAGGGGGAUUAGUGGUUUCAUCACGAGACCGCUUGCAUCCUAUUUUUAGGGUAGCGGCUUUACCAGCGGAGGUAUCGCCUAUUUAAUUUAUGACGCGUUGCUAUAAAUUUGUCCGGAUGACCUUUUAUAUUUUUUUUCACUGUGGCGGUUGUUAAUUAAAAUUACGUGGUCAUAAAUUAUGAAGCCACUGUACUGAUAAUUGUGUGCCUCGUAAGAAAAAAAAAUAAAACUCCUUGAAGGUGUCAGUGUAAGUAGAAAGAUGUAAUUAGUAGUAAGAUAGGUAAGGUAAGUAAUAUUGUAAGCAAGAAAAUUAUUAAUAAUUUAAUAGGGUUAAUUUCAAAAAUUACUUUUCAUCAAGGUUGGCUACUAAUAGAGAAAUAUUCGAUCCCUGCUUUGUCUGGAUUUUUUUUUUAGGGGCUGCCCCUGGAAUAUAUAUUCCCAUUUAAGGGGGCAGUGAAUAUAAUUUUUUAUAUAAGUGUUUUUACAUUUAAGAAAAGUCAAUCUUAGAUAUAUGUAAAUUUGAAGCGAAAUUUAUCUUAUUUAAGGUGCAGCCCUAAAAUUAAGAUAAAAACGUUCAACGACUAAUAGGUGAGUAAAAUUAACAAUAAAUCUUAUCUAGAAACCCUGCACUUUUUAUUAUAUAUAAUAAAAAAUAAGAAAAUUUAUUCCUGAAAACCUAAAUUUUUUUUACGCAGUAGUUUAUUUAGGUUAGUAAGAAGAAUACGCGCUACUACUUGAUAUGGCUAAUUUAGCCAGACAUGCACAUUAGAUAUGCAUCUGCUAGGAGGCAGCACAUAUUCCUAAUACCCCGCGCUACGAAGUGUGCUACGAAGUGUGCUACGAAGUGUGCUAGGGUUGAGGCUUCGCCGCCCUCCUUUGAUUACAAGGUACUACGUUAGAUGAAGGGCGGUAAAGCCGCCGGAGGAGAUGGUAUGGAAUGGCUUCGCAUAACAAGCCUUGUCGCGAUAAAGAUAAAUUUCUUAAUAAAAUUAAUAAAAAAUAUUACGGCGUAGCCGUGAAGAAGAAAAUGAAAAAAAAUCCUAAUUUAAUCCAAAAAGCUUCUACACAGUCCAAUUUAAUUGAAUUUUCAACAAAGAUCGAAGGAUCCAAGGUAAAAGAUGUAAAUAUUCCAAAUAUUUUUAAGCAAAACGUGAAAAAUAAUUUGAAAUUGAGACCUUUUAAUGAAAUAAUAAGUGAUGUAGGAGAUAUACAAUAUUUUCCUGCAUGAGCAAAAGAGUGAAGAAAUAGUGUUUAUCAUUAUAAUAGUAAUUUAAUAAAGAAUUUUCCUAUAUACGAUAUAAAUAUUGUUAAAAUAAUAAAAGUAUAUUUUGGUACUUAUUUUAAUCAUCAAUUUCUUAAAUACAAACAUAUUCUUACUAGGAAAAGACGUUUAUCUUUUAAUAAAAUUUUUUUUGCUAGACCAGAAAUUAAACACACGAAUUCUAAGGCUAUUAUAACUCUAUAUACUUUUAAUAGAGAAAAAUUUGCUAUAUUAAAAAAAAUCGGUAUAUUAAGUAAUUUAACUAAACAUUUACUUUGUUUACUUAAAACACGCGGGUUUUUUAUUUUUAGAAAAAAAAAAUUGAAAUUUUCCGGCGGUAAAGCUGCUGUCCAAAGAAACGGUCAAAUAAAUUUAGAAUGAAAAUGAGGAAAUGUACGUGAAUUUUGCAAGGGACAUUUAAAAAUAAUAGAAAAUAUUUUUUUUAAAUUUAAUAUGAUUUCUCUAAUAAUGAAAGAUGGAAAAGUACUUCAAGAUUAUUAUACUUAUUUCUCUGCUUUAAAUAUAAGUAAAAUUAAAGCAAAGAAAGAAACUAAUAAGUGGGUAAAAAUUUUACUUAAAAGAGAAUUUCGUCUUCUUCGAAAAUAUAAAUUUAAACUAAAUCUUAAUAAGUAUAAAUUUGAAGAAAAAUUUUUAUAUAGAUUAAGUAAUGUUAUAAGUAAAAUUUAUAAUAAACAAAUUGAAUUUAAUAUUGUGAAUUUGAAAAAUAUAGUAUUUAAUACUGAUUUAUUCACUGAAAUAUCUACAAAAAAAAUUAAAAAGAGAAAUACGAGAGUUCUAAAAAUAAUGAAUAUUAUGUUAAAUAAAGCUAAGUUACCUAGAGUAAAUAGAAUCCAAGAGAAAGGUCGAAUCGUUAAAAAUGUAAAUUUGAAUUUAGUUGAAAAUAAAUAUAGAACUCUUAAUUUGAAAGAUAUAUUAACUAGUAAACUUAAUCUAGAUAAAUUGUUAACUAAUUUAUAUACUAGUGUAGUUAAUGAUGAAUUCUUACCACAGGUUAAGGCCAAUUUGAAUGAUAUAGUAUUUAAUUCCAUUAAAUAUAAGAAUAUGGCGGGGAUUAGAAUGGAAGUUAAAGGUAGAUUGACUCCGCGUUAUAGAGCGGAUCGUAGUGUUUAUAGACUACGUUGGAAAGGUGGAUUAAAAAAUAUAGACUCAUCAUACAAGGGUUUAUCAGUUAGAAAAAACAGAGGUCACAUUAACCCUAAUGUUAGUUAUUCUAUUUUUUCAUCUAAACGAAGAGUAGGUGCUUUUGCUGUUAAAGGAUGAAUGAGUGGUAAAAGUUAUUCUACAUUGACGGCUACGCCCAAUAAAGAGGAUUUAAGUACUUCUUUAAAUCCUUGAGUUGUGACGGGGCUUGUAGAUGCGGAAGGAAGUUUUAAUAUUACUGUAGUUAAGAAUAAUAAUAGUAAGUUGGGUUGAGUAACUAAAUUACGUCUUGAAAUGUCUAUGCUUAAAAAAGAUAGAUUUACACUAGAACAAUUAAUAAAUUAUUUUGGUGGAGGUGGUAUUCGUGUUUUGGAUGACAACAAUCUUCGGUUUUACAUAGAAUCUUUAAAAGAUUUAACAACAGUUAUAAACCAUUUUGACAAAUAUCCCUUGUUUACUAAAAAACAAGAAGAUUACUUACUUUUUAAACAAGUAUUUGAGCUGUUUAAAAAUAAAAAUCAUUUAACUAUGGAAGGAUUGAGACAGAUUGUAGCAAUUAAAGCUUUAUUAAGAAAUAAAGGAUUAUCUAAUUCUUUAUUAGAAGCUUUUCCUGGUAUUACUCCUGCAACUCUACCUAUUACAGAUACUAUUACUUUUGGGGUAGAUAAAAGUAUACUUUCACCAUGAUUAGCUGGUUUUACUUCUGGUGAUGGAAAUUUCUAUAUUAGUAUAGGGGAAGGACCAAAGCAUGUGCAAGUACAAUUAGUUUUUACUUUAACUCAACAUAUUCGUGAUCAAGCUUUAAUGAAUAGUUUAAUAUCUUAUCUAGGUUGCGGAAAUAUUAAACAUAAUGAAAAAAAUUCUUGAUUACAAUUUAUUGUUACUAAAUUUUCGGAUAUAGAUGAAAAAAUUAUACCGAUCUUUAAAGAAAAUAAGAUAUUAGGUGAGAAAUUUAAAGAUUUUCAAGAUUGGUGUAGAGCAGCAGAGUUGAUGAAAAAUAAAGCUCAUUUAACUCCUUCAGGCUUAGAAGAGAUACGUAAGUUAAAAGCUGGGAUGAAUAGAGGUCGGUAAAUCUUAUUCUACUAUGGCUUCUAGUCACAACAGGGUGAAAUAAUCUUUAAAUAAUUUGACAAGGAGAACAACUAGAUCCUAGAACUGUUACAGGGUUUGUUGAUGCUUGCGCAAGCGUGGUUGUUUUCUAAUAACCUUAGAUAAAAAUAAUCUAAGUAAAAGUGGUUGGGUAGUUAAAUUACGUUUUCAAAUUCAUUUAAAUAAAAAAGAUAGAGCUAUAUUAGAACAAAUAGUAAAAUUUUUUUGUGCCCUUCGGAUUAGCCCCGAGGACAUAAUCCUGGGCCGAAAGGGGGGGGGGGUUCGCCCCCCGAAGAAAUACGAAAAAUUCAGGUAGAAUUGAAUAAAGGAAGAAUUUUUUAGGGUAACGCCGCUUAUUAAAUAUGCUGCGUAGCCGCCCUAAAAAAUAGAUAGGUUUUCAAGAAAGCCUUGUAGGCGUAAUAUAUAUAAUAAAAAAGUGAAUACAUAGUCUGAACCAUUUUGUAAAAAAUGGAAAAUUAAGAUAACAAAUUGAACAGGCUAAUUUGCGCAAGAGUGUACAUAAUGAGUGCGCGGUUUGGCACCUCGAUGUCGGCUUAACUUCUCCUCUGGGAUGCAGGACCUCGGUAGGGUACGACUGUUCGUCGAUUAAAAAGUUACAUGAGCUGGGUGUUAGCCCACUAAUGAUUUGUCUAUGCUUAUAUAAUAUGCUACAAUGACGGUAGUAUAUAGGUAGCGUAGUCAUUUAUAGUUACAAAAUGGGAUUAAUUGCAAGAACUUAUUAAAUUUAUUAAUUCGUUGACUCCUGCACAAGACGCGGUAAAUGGGGACUCAAUUCACGUGGCAUUUUAAGCUGGUGCCCAUAGGCUAGGUAAUUAAUUAAAGUUAAUAAAAUUUGCAGCGAAUUUUAUCUCGGAUGCGUACGUUCAGCUCCUAAUUUAGUGCGAUAUUUAUAUUAUUAGACUAAAAGAUAAAAACGUUCAACGACUGUGUACGUGAGUAAUUGGCUAGAGUAGACGUAGCCGAACCCUUUUGGUUCGGCAGCUCUAAAUUACUAGUACAGUAAAUUCCCGCAUCUCGAUUCGUAAUAAGAAUAUAUAAUCUAAAUCCUGUCAGGAGUAGCUUUAAUUUUAUUAGCCUCCUUAUUUUAUAAGGAGGCGUCUUUAUUAAAUGAAGGUGAGACCUUUCGGGCUACCUUCAAAUAAAUAGAGGAUGCUUGGUGCUUCCCCUUAGGAUUAGAUAAUUAAAUAAUAAAAAAAAAAUAAAAAAAAAGAACAAAAAUGAAUAAAACAACACUAUUAAGAUACGUUAAUUCGUUAGCUAAGUUACCAGUACAUAAAUUUGAUUAUAGAAUCAAAUCUAAAUUGCCUAUAUAUUUAAAUGAUGUUCUUUUAGGAUUACUUUUGAGUGAUGGGUAUUUAGAGAAGUCUUCUCCUACUAGUGGAGCAAGAUUAACCGUUUCCUUCGGUUCAAAGCAUUCUGCUUAUUUAAAUUUCCUGUACAAACUAUUUGAACCGUACACUAAUUCAGAACCAACUAAAAUUAGUGUAUUGAAUAAAAAAACCAAAGUACUCAGCGAAGUAGUAAGAUUUAAGACUGUAAUGCUACCACAAUUAGUAUGAUAUCAUAAUCUUUUUUAUUCAAAAAGUUCUAGCUUAGCUAAUGGUAAAUUAGUGAAAAUAAUACCUUCUAAUAUUAUGGAGCUAAUUUCUCCUGUGGUUUUAGCACAUUUAAUAAUGGGAGAUGGAAAUUUAAAAAUGCCAGAUAAAAUUAUUAGAAUUUAUACAAAUAGCUUUACUAAAAGUGAUGUAGAGUUAUUAGCUAAAGCAAUUAAUAAAAAACUAGGUAUAGCAGCUAAAGCUACUUUGGAUAGAAAUGACCAGUACAUGAUUACAAUUAGUAAAUCUCAACUUUCUUUGGUUAUUGCUCAAUUAAAAACUCAUAUGCAUUCGUCCAUGAGUUAUAAAUUAGGCUUACAACCAGAAGAGUGUGUAUCAGAUGUUCAGGAAUUAAAAUUUUCUGAAUUAAAUGAUUUUGGUCCUGAUUGUAUAAAGUAUGAUGAAAUGCUUAAAAAUUGAGAUCAAUAGUUUAGUUUGUUUUUUUAGGGCUGUGCGGUAAAACUGCAUAAAGCUCUAUCUUUUUUAAUACUGUAUAUUUUAGGCGUUCUUAAUAUUACAACCGAUGAUGAAUACAAAGUCUGAACCAGCUUGUGAGAGCUGGAAAUUUUUUUAUAACA